AAUACCUGAAUGUGGACAUUUUCUAAUCAGCUCUUUAAACCGCUCCCACGCCUCGUGAAACUCUUCAUUUGGUUUUUGGGCAAACAAUAAAAUUUGAGUUCUCAUAUC